rnacentral:rRNA from 1 species
UAGGGAAUCUUCCACAAUGGACGCAAGUCUGAUGGAGCAACGCCGCGUGAGUGAAGAAGGUUUUCGGACCGUAAAGCCCUGUUGUUGGUGAAGAAGGAUAGAGGUAGUAACUGGCCUUUAUUUGACGGUAAUCAACCAGAAAGUCACGGCUAACUACGUGCCAGCAGCCGCGGUAAUACGUAGGUGGCAAGCGUUGUCCGGAUUUAUUGGGCGUAAAAGCGAGCGCAGGCGGAAGAAUAAGUCUGAUGUGAAAGCCCUCGGCUUAACCGAGGAAUUGCAUCGGAAACUGUUUUCUUGAGUGCAGAAGAGGAGAGUAGAACUCCAUGUGUAGCGGUGGAAUGCGUAGAUAUAUGGAAGAAUACCAGUGGCGAAGGCGGCUCUCUGGUCUGCAACUGACGCUGAGGCUCGAAAAGCAUGGGUAGCGAACAGGAUUAGAUACCCUGGUAGUCCAUGCCGUAAACGAUGAGUGCUAAGUGUUGGGAGGCUUCCGCCUCUCAGUGCUGCAGCUAACGCAUUAAGCACUCCGCCUGGGGGAGUACGACCGCAAGGUUGAA